GCUGGGUGCGGUGGCUCACACCUGUAAUCCCUGCUACUCGGGAAGCUGAGGCAGGAGGAUCACUUGAGCCCAGGAGGUCAGGGUUGCACCGAGCUAUGAUCAGCACCACUGCACUCCAGCCUGGGCAGCAGAGUGAGACCCUGUCUCAA
ensembl:misc_RNA Metazoa_SRP Metazoan signal recognition particle RNA